rnacentral:rRNA from 1 species
CGGGGUGCAGCAGGCGCGAAAACUCUACAAUGCAGGCAACUGCGAUAGGGGGACAUCGAGUGGCAUCCACCUUGGGUGCCUGUCCAACCGUCUAAAAAACGGUUGUUAGCAAGGGCCGGGUAAGACCGGUGCCAGCCGCCGCGGUAAUACCGGCGGCUCGAGUGGUGGCCGAUAUUAUUGAGUCUAAAGGGUCCGUAGCCGGCUUUGCAAGUCCCCUGGGAAAUCCAGCGGCUUAACCGUUGGGCUUUCAUGGGAUACUACAUUGCUUGGGACUGGGAGAGGUAGGAGGUACUCGGGGGGUAGGGGUGAAAUCCUGUAAUCCUCCGGGGACCACCGGUGGCGAAGGCGUCCUACCAGAACAGGUCCGACGGUGAGGGACGAAAGCUAGGGGCACGAACCGGAUUAGAUACCCGGGUAGUCCUAGCCGUAAACGAUGCCCGCUAGGUGUCACGACGGUCGUGAAUCGUCGUGGUGCCGUAGGGAAGCCGCGAAGCGGGCCACUUGGGAAGUACGGCCGCAAGGCUGAAACUUAAAGGAAUUGGCGGGG